rnacentral:tRNA from 1 species
CGGGAAGUUGCUCAGCUUGGUAGAGCACUUGGUUUGGGACCAAGGGGUCGCAGGUUCGAAUCCUGUCUUACCGA